GUCCUCUCUUCGAGGGCCUAGUGACCCCUCUCAAUUCCCUAGCGCCGUCCGUGCCCUCUCUCCGUACCCCAGGCUUUGGGGCCUUAAGGCGGUGAGGGCACUGUGAGAAGGCAGCAAGCCAGAAAGGCCAUCAACAGAAACCAGCCCUGGUAGCUUCCUGAUCUCGGACUUCCUGCAUCCUGGACUGAGAAAAUAAAUGUCAGUUGUUUGAGCCACACAA